GGAUAGGCAUAUCCCUUGUUGUUCUUGCAAUCUGCAUUGUGCUUGCUGGUUAUGGUUAUAGAACCUAUCGCGGGAAACUGAGAAAUUGCCCCGUGUAGUUCCUGGUGGCAAAAACAAGUAUUCAGGAAAGGAAUCAGACGGGAGUCCGAGGCAGACAGCCCAAUCUCCACUUCAACACACGAUCGAGGAGGAACCUCUGCAAUCUC
rnacentral:misc_RNA from 1 species